AGUGUUACUGUGAUAAGAUCUGGAACAAAUGAUGGAAAACCUUCUGGUGUGGUAAAAAUUGUGGAUUUUGGCAAAGUUAUUGAAGAUAAGAAGAAUAAUGUGGUGGAACCCGUAAAAGGUAAAAAGAAAAAAACUGUGAAGUAAGAACAAACGGAAAGAAAGAAGUUGAUUCCGAUUCUUCAAGUUCAUCUGCUGGUGGUAACAGGAGGAAGAAGAGAUCAACAAAGAAAGAAGUCAAACAGCGUAAGAACAAACGGAAAGAAAAGAGACGGUUGUCUGGCAAAAGAUCAAAAAGAAGGAGCUUUGGGAGUUCAAAUGAAACAGAAAGUGGAAGUAGCAGUUCUGAUGAUGGAAAAGCAAAUUGACGUGUUGCAAAGGCCAAAAAUAGACCUCCAAUGAGGAAAAGUUUACCAGAUCUGUCACGAAAGGAACCUGAAUCAAAGGUGAAAAUUAAGGAUCAAAAUUCAAAGAAAACAACCUUAGAAGAGCAAGAACUUGUUAAAAAUGGGGUUGUGAAGGACAAGGAGAAGGAAAAAGAGCUUCAAUUACUUACUGCAUAACCUACAUUCUGAGUUGCA